GACGAACCGUGCGAACGUUGUUCGGAUUCACUGGGCUUAAAGCGCACGUAGGCGGCUAUUCAAGUCGGGUGUGAAAGCCCGGGGCUCAACCCCGGAACUGCCCUCGAAACUAGAUAGCUAGAAUCUUGGAGAGGCGAGUGGAAUUCCGAGUGUAGAGGUGAAAUUCGUAGAUAUUCGGAAGAACACCAGUGGCGAAGGCGACUCGCUGGACAAGUAUUGACGCUGAGGUGCGAAAGCGUGGGGAGCAAACAGG
rnacentral:rRNA from 1 species